rnacentral:rRNA from 1 species
GAUGAACGCUGGCGGCGUGCCUAAUACAUGCAAGUCGAGCGAACGGACGAGAAGCUUGCUUCUCUGAUGUUAGCGGCGGACGGGUGAUUAACACGUGGAUAACCUACCUAUAAGACUGGGAUAACUUCGGGAAACCGGAGCUAAUACCGGAUAAUAUUUUGAACCGCAUGGUUCAAAAGUGAAAGACGGUCUUGCUGUCACUUAUAGAUGGAUCCUCGCUGCAUUAGCUAGUUGGUAAGGUAACGGCUUACCAAGGCAACGAUGCAUAGCCGACCUGAGAGGGUGAUCGGCCACACUGGAACUGAGACACGGUCCAGACUCCUACGGGAGGCAGCAGUAGGGAAUCUUCCGCAAUGGGCGAAAGCCUGACGGAGCAACGCCGCGUGAGUGAUGAAGGUCUUCGGAUCGUAAAACUCUGUUAUUAGGGAAGAACAUAUGUGUAAGUAACUGUGCACAUCUUGACGGUACCUAAUCAGAAAGCCACGGCUAACUACGUG